rnacentral:rRNA from 1 species
CCUACGGGUGACAGCAGUGGGGAAUAUUGCACAAUGGGGGAAACCCUGAUGCAGCGACGCCGCGUGAGUGAAGAAGUAUUUCGGUAUGUAAAGCUCUAUCAGCAGGGAAGAAAAUGACGGUACCUGACUAAGAAGCCCCGGCUAACUACGUGCCAGCAGCCGCGGUAAUACGUAGGGGGCAAGCGUUAUCCGGAUUUACUGGGUGUAAAGGGAGCGUAGAUGGCAGGGCAAGCCUGAAGUGAAAUCCCAUGGCUAAACUCGGGAAUUGCUUUGGAAACUAUGCAGCUGGAGUGCUGGAGGGGUAAGCGGAAUUCCUAGUGUAGCGGUGAAAUGCGUAGAUAUUAGGAGGAACACCGGUGGCGAAGGCGGCUUACUGGACUGAAACUGACGUUGAGGCUCGAAAGCGUGGGGAGCAAACAGGAUUAGAUACCCCAGUAGUC